CACCGCGGUUAUACGAGAGGCCCAAGCUGACAGAAACCGGCGUAAAGAGUGGUUAGGAAGUUCUUAAACUAGAGCCAAACAUUUUCCAGGCUGUUAUACGCAUCCGAAAAUAUGAAAAUCUUCUACGAAAGUGGCUUUAAUCAUCUGACUCCACGAAAGUUACGAAA
rnacentral:rRNA from 1 species